CUGCUGUAGACUUUAACUCAUCUCUAGAUUAUGUACCUUGCCAUGUGAUAUGGUGAGUAUAGUUUCUAAUGCUGUAUCUGAAGGGACCAGCUCCCCAUUUCGGCAGCCAUAACAGCCGAACACAUACUUGUCUGACCUUGUCCUAGUCAUUAGAAGUCAGAUGCCUGCCUCGUGGCAAGGAACCAAUCAGAAGUUAGCUGGCAGCGCUAUGCUUUACGGCUCUGGGUGUGCUUUACGGACAAGUGCACAGCAAUGAUGCACAGAGCAUAGCAACCACCCUGGGAGGGCCUAUGGACCAUAACAACCAGUUGGCCAAUCAACACAGGGCAAACCCUCCAAGCCUGGAGGCACACCAAUCCUGAGCCUGUGCAUACCUCUAGACACUCCCCUUAUGCUGCCCUAUAAGAUCUCUAUGCAGUGGCUUCGAAGCGUCUUUUCUAGCCAUCCUUCAUGGUGGAUGAAUGAAAGGCCCGAGCUAACAUGGGGUUAGCUCGUUAAACAAUUGCAAUAAAGCCUCGUGCUUUUUGCAUCAAGUUUCUGCCUCUGCAUGGUGAUUGGGGUGGCCGCGGUCAUGGGCUGAGAUCCUGGGGGCCUGAGCCUCUGGAGGUCUUUCAUUUGGGGGCUCGUCCUAGAUUUGAGACCACCCGUCACCUGAGUGGAGUCGAUCUUGGAGGUAAGGUCGAGCUCGAAACCUAUAUGUUUGAUAAUGUGCCUUGUAAUGUCCAUGUUUGAUAAUGUGUCUUGUUAUGUACAUGUUUGAUAAUGUGUCUUGUUAUGUCUCUUGCUGUUUGACUUGGAUUUGAAUCUGUGCCUGCGCAGGACUUGUAUUUGGUAAUAUGGACCACAGGGAGGUAGAUGUGCCCUGAGCCUCUUGGUUCCACCCUGGACAAAAGUCCAAGGGUUGUUUGUAAUUUUGGUUUGGCACCAUGUCUGUAAUUUGGUCUGCCUCGAGGUUUGUCCUGUCUGUAUUGUUCGUCCUUCUGUUUUUACAGUUUGUGUCUAUUUCGUCCUCCCCAUGGGGCUAGCCAUCUGAAAUUCUGAAUAGGACCCUAGUCUGUGUUACUGUGCUGUCUGUCCAAGUUUCACAUUUGUGCUGUGUGUUUGUUAAGCCUGUCUUUGUCUUUUGUCCUGACUCUGGAGGUCUAUCAGAACAGCUUCUGCUCUCUGGACUCCAGCGGCGUCUCUCUCUCUCUCUGUCCUUACUGCCCACGCACAUGGCAUGCGUGGGUCAGGCGUCUUUUCUUGCCCUGAGCACGUGGUGUGUGGGACAGGAGUUCCUCUGCCAUGUGCUAUGGGUUAGAGUGUGCUGCGGUGGAGUCCCCUGAGGCUGCUGCUCUGAACUCCAACCACUGCUGGGCCCUCACAGCUGAGCCUGGCUGGUGCAGGUGAGUCUGUUUUUCCAUUCUCACAUGCUGGUCUGUGAGGCAUGUGAAGUGGGGCUCUCUCGGCCCCAACUGCCAUCCUGCCAUGGGUCCUGGCUUGCCUCGGGAGUUUCCUUGCCCUGAGCACACGGCUGCAAGGCUACCAUUUGCCUGGCUGCCCGGCCUUCUCUGUGUUGCACACACAUGGUAUGCAGGGAAACCUCGGGGGUCUUUUUCCCACGCCUGCAUUGGCAGAGGGUCUGGGAUUACCAGAAGCACCCGCCCCCAGGUCUCUGCCCUGAGAACAUGGAGCUGGAGUGGAUGAACCAUCUGGCCUGAUCUGGACAUUCUAAAGAAACUGCCUUAAAGUUAUUAAAAACCAUAAAAAGGACUUUGAUAAGAGUUUUUAUGUUGACUGAGAAAUGAGAAAAAAAUGUAGGAGACUAAAAUAAUAAAGAGGGAAAGGGAAAGAGAAAUUUGUCUAAGAAUGUCUAAGAAAAUCAGAGGAAUGAACUGAAGGUAUAUAGAAAGUUAUAGAGGGUUAAAGAAAGUCGUAGAAGGUCAGAAGAAAGUUGUCAAAGGUCAGAGAAAAGGUUGUUAAAAGUCAGAGAAAAAUGUAAACUGUUUGUUAUGGUUUCUCAUGUCUACAAAUAGUAAAUUUUAAAAAUUGAUAACAUAAGUUAAAAUUUUAACCAUAUUAAAUUAAUUCUGUUUAAAAAGUUCUGUUUAUUUCUCAAGUAAAUUAUGUAUGUUUGUUUUAAAAUGUUCUGUUUCCUGGCAUAACCUACAUUACAUGCAUACAGCUAAAACAAAUGGUGCAGGUCACCGCCAUUUUGCAGCCAGCCACAUGGCAAGCUGGUCACAUGGCUGACUGGUAGCCAUUUUGCUGAAGUUGAAAAAAGAUACUUAAAUCGCCAUCUUGACUAAAGGUGACCACAUGGAAAUUAGAGGUACCAUCUUAUAAACAAGUUUUUCAAUUAAGAUUUAAAAUGUUAAUGCUUCUAUAUAUUACAGAAAGGCAUUAAGGGAUUUUAAAUUUCUUUUUAAAACCAGUUUUUUGAAUGUUUAUGUUUUUUAAAAAUGUUUCUAUUAAUGUUUGUAUUUAAAGAGCUUCAAUUUAAAAUUAUUUUUAAGCAAAGCCUGACAAUGUAAAGUUCUUGUUUUAUAAAAGCUGCUAAUCUAUUAUAAGAUGUUACAGUUUAUGUUUUCAGAAGUUAAGUUUAGGGCGUUGGUGGCACACGCCUUUAAUCCCAGCACUCAGGAGGCAGAGGCAGGUGGAUCUUUGUGAGUUCAGGCCAGCCUGGUCGACAGAGUGAGUUCCAGGACAGGCUCCAAAGCCACAGAGAAACCCUGUCUCAGAAAGAAGUUAAGUUUAAGCAAGGAGCUAAAAUGUGUACGUGUAGCUACUGUUUAAGGAAUAUAAGGUAAUUCUAUGCAGUUUUAAAUUCAACUGUGCUAAGUUUCAAAUAUUUUACUAAGUUAAAACCAGUUACAGUCAGACUGAAAAUUAAUUAAUUACAGAAAUAAGACCUUACCUAGACACCUGUGUGCUUAAUGUGUGCUUAAGGCAAGUAACUAAAACAGACAGACCUCUAAUGUUUCAGAGACCUCAGAAUAUGGCAUUUAAAAUGUUGUUUUAAAAGUUUAUAAUAUCAGACAGACUGCCAGAUCCUGACAGGGACCCAAAGUCUCCAAAGAAGAUUAUGAGGCACCCCAGUUCCUGCACCUGGAUGAUGACGACAAUGACCAGUGAGCGAGAUGCUCAGAUGUGACACCUGCUGCCUGCCAGGACCUGGCCGAAACUGUGGACAAAACUGCUGGACACUGGAAAAUUGAUUGUACCCCUUUGCCUAGACAAAACAAGACACAUCUGAGUAUCGGUUGCUGACUACAGGCUGUUUCUAAGCAGACUGCGGGCCCUGGACUUGCUGUGGAUGUGAACCAGUCCAGCUGAUAUGGACACCCCCUGUCUCUGCAACAGAGUCUGCCAACCAGAAGCUCCUGAUGAUUCCCCAUUGCCUAAAUUCCCUUUUUUGCUUUUGACUAGCAUUUCAGCCUUCUUUGGUCCCUAACUUCGUCCCAAAGUCAGCAGGAAGUAGCAUGGGAAAGAAUACAUCACCCAUUUUCCAGGGUUGAAAUGCUAAGUCAGAAGGAACUCCCUUCAUAAGGGAUGCUAAUAUCUCUCACUCCCUGAUGGGGAUGCUGGAGAGACAGCAAUUCCAUGAUUGGAGUCUCCAAAAAAGAAAAAAUGGGGGAAUGAAGGGACCAGCUCCCCAUUUCGGCAGCCAUAACAGCCAAACACAUACUUGCCUGACCUUGUCUUGGUCACUAGGAGAUCAGAUGCCUGCCUCGUGGCAAGGAACCAAUCAGAAGUUAGCUGGCGGCGCUAUGCUUUACAGCUCUGGGUGUGCUUUACAGACAAGUGCACAGCAAUGACGUGCAGAGCAUAGCAACCACCCUGGGAGGGCCUAUGGACCAUAACAACCAGUUGACCAAUCAACACAGGGCAAACCCUCCAAGCCUGGAGGCACAACAAUCCUGAGCCUGUGCAUACCCCUAGACACUCCCUAAUGCUGCCCUAUAAGAGCUCUAUGCAGAUGCUUUGAGCUGUCUUUCCUAGCCAUUCCUAGCCAUCCGCCAUGGUGGAUGGAUGAAAGGCCUGAGCUAACAUGGGGUUAGCUCGUUAAACAACUGUAAUAAAGCCUCUUGCUGUUUGCAUCAAGUUUCU
ensembl:lncRNA